rnacentral:lncRNA from 1 species
ACAACAUGCCCAUGGGGUAGACCAUCUGUCACACACGACCUAGACACAUGCUCGUGUAUCUACCCAUGUGGACAAUUAUUGAGGCUAUUUUCCAAGCCAAUUGCCAACCUUAAUUGCACAUACACAAACAUGACUUCAAUGGCACCUCUACUUGACGUAAAUUUCAUGCACUUAAACUUUCGUGAACAUAGCUCAUGCAUGACAACUUCUCAUCACGUUGUACUUGAUUAAGACUUCAUAUAAUGGAAAAC